GGGUUGUGAGGUUAAGCGACUAAGCGUACACGGUGGAUGCCCUGGCAGUCAGAGGCGAUGAAGGACGUGCUAAUCUGCGAUAAGCGUCGGUAAGGUGAUAUGAACCGUUAUAACCGGCGAUUUCCGAAUGGGGAAACCCAGUGUGUUUCGACACACUAUCAUUAACUGAAUCCAUAGGUUAAUGAGGCGAACCGGGGGAACUGAAACAUCUAAGUACCCCGAGGAAAAGAAAUCAACCGAGAUUCCCCCAGUAGCGGCGAGCGAACGGGGAGCAGCCCAGAGCCUGAAUCAGUGUGUGUGUUAGUGGAAGCGUCUGGAAAGGCGCGCGAUACAGGGUGACAGCCCCGUACACAAAAAUGCACAUGCUGUGAGCUCGAUGAGUAGGGCGGGACACGUGGUAUCCUGUCUGAAUAUGGGGGGACCAUCCUCCAAGGCUAAAUACUCCUGACUGACCGAUAGUGAACCAGUACCGUGAGGGAAAGGCGAAAAGAACCCCGGCGAGGGGAGUGAAAAAGAACCUGAAACCGUGUACGUACAAGCAGUGGGAGCACGCUUAGGCGUGUGACUGCGUACCUUUUGUAUAAUGGGUCAGCGACUUAUAUUCUGUAGCAAGGUUAACCGAAUAGGGGAGCCGAAGGGAAACCGAGUCUUAACUGGGCGUUAAGUUGCAGGGUAUAGACCCGAAACCCGGUGAUCUAGCCAUGGGCAGGUUGAAGGUUGGGUAACACUAACUGGAGGACCGAACCGACUAAUGUUGAAAAAUUAGCGGAUGACUUGUGGCUGGGGGUGAAAGGCCAAUCAAACCGGGAGAUAGCUGGUUCUCCCCGAAAGCUAUUUAGGUAGCGCCUCGUGAAUUCAUCUCCGGGGGUAGAGCACUGUUUCGGCAAGGGGGUCAUCCCGACUUACCAACCCGAUGCAAACUGCGAAUACCGGAGAAUGUUAUCACGGGAGACACACGGCGGGUGCUAACGUCCGUCGUGAAGAGGGAAACAACCCAGACCGCCAGCUAAGGUCCCAAAGUCAUGGUUAAGUGGGAAACGAUGUGGGAAGGCCCAGACAGCCAGGAUGUUGGCUUAGAAGCAGCCAUCAUUUAAAGAAAGCGUAAUAGCUCACUGGUCGAGUCGGCCUGCGCGGAAGAUGUAACGGGGCUAAACCAUGCACCGAAGCUGCGGCAGCGACGCUUAUGCGUUGUUGGGUAGGGGAGCGUUCUGUAAGCCUGUGAAGGUGUGCUGUGAGGCAUGCUGGAGGUAUCAGAAGUGCGAAUGCUGACAUAAGUAACGAUAAAGCGGGUGAAAAGCCCGCUCGCCGGAAGACCAAGGGUUCCUGUCCAACGUUAAUCGGGGCAGGGUGAGUCGACCCCUAAGGCGAGGCCGAAAGGCGUAGUCGAUGGGAAACAGGUUAAUAUUCCUGUACUUGGUGUUACUGCGAAGGGGGGACGGAGAAGGCUAUGUUGGCCGGGCGACGGUUGUCCCGGUUUAAGCGUGUAGGCUGGUUUUCCAGGCAAAUCCGGAAAAUCAAGGCUGAGGCGUGAUGACGAGGCACUACGGUGCUGAAGCAACAAAUGCCCUGCUUCCAGGAAAAGCCUCUAAGCAUCAGGUAACAUCAAAUCGUACCCCAAACCGACACAGGUGGUCAGGUAGAGAAUACCAAGGCGCUUGAGAGAACUCGGGUGAAGGAACUAGGCAAAAUGGUGCCGUAACUUCGGGAGAAGGCACGCUGAUAUGUAGGUGAAGUCCCUCGCGGAUGGAGCUGAAAUCAGUCGAAGAUACCAGCUGGCUGCAACUGUUUAUUAAAAACACAGCACUGUGCAAACACGAAAGUGGACGUAUACGGUGUGACGCCUGCCCGGUGCCGGAAGGUUAAUUGAUGGGGUNNNNNNNNNNNNNNNNNNNNNNNNNNNNNNNNNNNNNNNNNNNNNNNNNNNNNNNNNNNNNNNNNNNNNNNNNNNNNNNNNNNNNCCUUGUCGGGUAAGUUCCGACCUGCACGAAUGGCGUAAUGAUGGCCAGGCUGUCUCCACCCGAGACUCAGUGAAAUUGAACUCGCUGUGAAGAUGCAGUGUACCCGCGGCAAGACGGAAAGACCCCGUGAACCUUUACUAUAGCUUGACACUGAACAUUGAGCCUUGAUGUGUAGGAUAGGUGGGAGGCUUUGAAGUGUGGACGCCAGUCUGCAUGGAGCCGACCUUGAAAUACCACCCUUUAAUGUUUGAUGUUCUAACGUUGACCCGUGAUCCGGGUUGCGGACAGUGUCUGGUGGGUAGUUUGACUGGGGCGGUCUCCUCCUAAAGAGUAACGGAGGAGCACGAAGGUUGGCUAAUCCUGGUCGGACAUCAGGAGGUUAGUGCAAUGGCAUAAGCCAGCUUGACUGCGAGCGUGACGGCGCGAGCAGGUGCGAAAGCAGGUCAUAGUGAUCCGGUGGUUCUGAAUGGAAGGGCCAUCGCUCAACGGAUAAAAGGUACUCCGGGGAUAACAGGCUGAUACCGCCCAAGAGUUCAUAUCGACGGCGGUGUUUGGCACCUCGAUGUCGGCUCAUCACAUCCUGGGGCUGAAGUAGGUCCCAAGGGUAUGGCUGUUCGCCAUUUAAAGUGGUACGCGAGCUGGGUUUAGAACGUCGUGAGACAGUUCGGUCCCUAUCUGCCGUGGGCGCUGGAGAACUGAGGGGGGCUGCUCCUAGUACGAGAGGACCGGAGUGGACGCAUCACUGGUGUUCGGGUUGUCAUGCCAAUGGCACUGCCCGGUAGCUAAAUGCGGAAGAGAUAAGUGCUGAAAGCAUCUAAGCACGAAACUUGCCCCGAGAUGAGUUCUCCCUGACUCCUUGAGAGUCCUGAAGGAACGUUGAAGACGACGACGUUGAUAGGCCGGGUGUGUAAGCGCAGCGAUGCGUUGAGCUAACCGGUACUAAUGAACCGUGAGGCUUAACCUUACAACGCCGAAGGUGUUU
rnacentral:rRNA from 1 species